rnacentral:lncRNA from 1 species
GUCAUCCAGCCCUUCACAAAGCCAUCAGAUGCCAUAAUCAAUAGCUCAAUGUCAAAAGAAAAUUCAAGAUUCUGAUCUUUCUAUUUAUCCAUCUCUAUAAUAAUGACUCAAUUUGUUAAGAGUUUAAAAAUUACACCUACAAAUUAAAGUACUGUAUAAGACCCAAGGUCAGCUUUUUAAAUCAACAUUUCUUGCCAUUUAAAUUAUACAAUUAGGAUGACAUGUUCUACAGUAGUGUUUGAAAAUAGCCAAAAAUUGGAUUCCUUAAUUUAAACUUAAUACAAAGAUUAGGGAACAUAUACUAAAAGAAAAAAAAAAACACUUAUUAGCAGUGAAGACACCCUGAAUAAUGUUACAGAAACUAAGUCAUACACACAUUUGUCUUCACCACUGCCACAUAUCUGUUCAUAACAAUGUCAUUACUGCACUUGAGGACAAAAAUGUAUGGGUCUCUAAGGAGACAAAAGUGAUAUAUAAAUAUAUAUGUUCAGAUACAUGUUCCUUUGUGAAAGCAAUACUGUACAGUUGGAUAAAUCCUAUCAAUAAAACUGAUAGAUUGCAAGAUAUAGCAAUCUUUGUUUUCUAGAAUAUGAUAUAAAUAAUACACAAAUGUUUAAUGACGUGAUGUCAAAAUUGAGUCAUGAGAAGUCUCAAGGAUGCAGAUUAAAUUGACCAUCUGUACAGCUUGCCAUGAAUUAAGUCAUUCAUCGUUUUUCAUGAAGAACUGUUCAAGUAUUAAUGAGCCAGGGCUAUAAAAGUUUUCCAAACCAAUGGAUGACAAAUGCAAAGCAUAUUUUUUUAAUAUUUAGAAAUAAGACAAUUUUGAACCUAUCUCCACUUCUGUGAUGUCCUUAAUUAGCC